UACGUAGGUGGCAAGCGUUGUCCGGAAUUAUUGGGCGUAAAGCGCGCGCAGGCGGUCCUUUAAGUCUGAUGUGAAAGCCCACGGCUCAACCGUGGAAGGUCAUUGGAAACUGGGGGACUUGAGUGCAGAAGAGGAAAGCGGAAUUCUUGGUGUAGCGGUGAAAUGCGUAGAUAUCAAGAGGAACACCUGCGGCGAAGGCGGGUUGCUGGGCCGACACUGACGCUGAUGCGCGAAAGCUAGGGGAGCGAACGGG
rnacentral:rRNA from 1 species